rnacentral:rRNA from 1 species
AUUGAACGCUGGCGGCAUGCCUUACACAUGCAAGUCGAACGGUAACAGGUCUUCGGAUGCUGACGAGUGGCGAACGGGUGAGUAAUACAUCGGAACGUGCCUAGUAGUGGGGGAUAACUACUCGAAAGAGUGGCUAAUACCGCAUGAGAUCUACGGAUGAAAGCAGGGGAUCGCAAGACCUUGUGCUACUAGAGCGGCCGAUGGCAGAUUAGGUAGUUGGUGGGAUAAAAGCUUACCAAGCCGACGAUCUGUAGCUGGUCUGAGAGGACGAUCAGCCACACUGGGACUGUGACACGGCCCAGACUCCUACGGGAGGCAGCAGUGGGGAAUUUUGGACAAUGGGCGCAAGCCUGAUCAGCAAUGCCGCGUGCAGGAUGAAGGCCUUCGGGUUGUAAACUGCUUUUGUACGGAACGAAAAGCCCCGGGUUAAUACCCUGGGGUCAUGACGGUACCGUAAGAAUAAGCACCGGCUAACUACGUGCCAGCCGCCGCAGUA